rnacentral:lncRNA from 1 species
CUCAACAACAGAUGCAUUUGGGGCAAAUAAUCAACCAAGAUGAGAGAGGCCUUCAAGAGAGCCAGAACUUUGAUAAUGAUGGCUUUUAACUACUCCAUUAUUGACUGCAAUAAGUAUGGUAAAACUAAGGAAGGAAUACUCACGUCUCUAAAGCAGCUGAGCUUUAAUUUCAACAUUCCUGCAGAAUGCUCUGGAAAGUCUGGGCCAGCCACGUGCAAAACUAUGUCCCAGAGUUGAGCAGUGAUGAAACCAGCUUUUCUGCGAUGGGGAAGGAGGGAAACCUCAAAGUACAACCAAAGAGCAGCAGCAGGGUAUGGUGAGUACGAACCUGUCAUAUGCAGUAUUCCACAGCAAAAGACAUUUUUUAUUCUGAUCUAACAGAUUAGGUGGGUACAGCUAAUCAAGCAACUUGACCACUGAGCAAUCUUUAAUGCUUCAACAAACUGACCUCAAACUAUUCAAACACUAUGCAGCUGAAACUUAGUCUUACUAUAUACAUAGAAUCUUUUUAUUUUUAAUUUUUUGUAACCUGCGUGUGUUUCAGCACACUUCUAAGGAGCUGUUGUUAUUCUAAUUAUAAUUAAGUCACUUGAAAUAAAUCUGGAGAUAGUAAACUGUAAAAAUAUCUA